rnacentral:rRNA from 1 species
GUAACGCUGGCGGUAUGUUACACAUGCAAGUCGAACGGAACUUCGGGUUUAGUGGCGGACGGGUGAGUAACGCGUGAGAAUCUGCCUCUAGGUCGGGGACAACAACUGGAAACGGUUGCUAAUACCCGAUGUGCAGCAAUGUGAAAGAUUUAUUGCCUAGAGAUGAGCUCGCGUCUGAUUAGCUAGUAGGUGUGGUAAUGGCGCACCUAGGCGACGAUCAGUAACUGGUCUGAGAGGAUGACCAGUCACACUGGGACUGAGACACGGCCCAGACUCCUACGGGAGGCAGCAGUGGGGAAUUUUCCGCAAUGGGCGAAAGCCUGACGGAGCAAUACCGCGUGAGGGACGAAGGCUUUUGGGUCGUAAACCUCUUUUCCCUGAGAAGAAGAUCUGACGGUAUCAGGGGAAUCAGCAUCGGCUAACUUCGUGCCAGCAGCCGCGGUAAUACGAGGGAUGCAAGCGUUAUCCGGAAUUAUUGGGCGUAAAGCGUCCGCAGGUGGCUCUGUAAGUCUGUCGUUAAAGAAUGGGGCUCAACCCCAUACAGGCGAUGGAAACUACAAGGCUAGAGUUUGGUAGGGGUCACGGGAAUUCUUAGUGUAGCGGUGAAAAUGCGUAGAUUUUAAGAAGAACACCAGCGGCGAAAGCGCGUGACUGGGCCAGUACUGACACUCAUGGACGAAAGCUAGGGGAGCGAAUGGGAUUAGAUACCCCAGUAGUC